rnacentral:rRNA from 1 species
CCUACGGGAGGCAGCAGUGGGGAAUAUUGCACAAUGGGGGAAACCCUGAUGCAGCGACGCCGCGUGAGUGAAGAAGUAAUUCGUUAUGUAAAGCUCUAUCAGCAGGGAAGAAAAUGACGGUACCUGAGUAAGAAGCCCCGGCUAACUACGUGCCAGCAGCCGCGGUAAUACUUAGGGGGCAAGCGUUAUCCGGAUUUACUGGGUGUAAAGGGAGCGUAGACGGCAGUGCAAGGCUGGAGGGAAAGGGGGGGGCUCAACCCCCGGACUGCUCUGGAAACUGGACGGCUGGAGUGCAGGAGAGGUAAGUGGAAUUCCUAGUGUAGCGGUGAAAUGCGUAGAUAUUAGGAGGAACACCAGUGGCGAAGGCGGCUUACUGGACUGUAACUGACGUUGAGGCUCGAAAGCGUGGGGAGCAAACAGGAUUAGAUACCCGAGUAGUC